CCAGGGCAACAGCUUCAAUAACAAAAUGUCUGGUAGUGGGAGUUUCUUUCCAUUUUAGCUGCUUAUAAUUAAAUGACAAGCUCAUAUAGGUUCAUUAUAACCCCCUCUGUAUAAUUGGAGGAAGCUGUCUUAGAUUUAUGUUGUUAAUUGCUCAUGAGAGAGUCUCUUUUCCUACAAAGUCAGACUGAAGAGAGCAAGCUUCGCUUCUGUGCAGCAAUGAGGCCAGAAUCUGGGAGCUCACACAGUCACGAUGUUACUCAAGUCUUUGUAUAUUUCAGAUAAAUUACUCGCAGCAAACACAGGCUGAGCCCAGCCAUGCUGGUGGCUCUGGGGACUGAGCAGAACUGCAGCACAAGCCCACUUUCAGCCUUUUUGUAAGCCCACAUCUCUUUUCUGGCUAAGAACUUGAGGCUGAACUGCUUGGAACUGCUCUUAUCUCUGUUACCAUACGCUGUGAGCCCAGUACUGAGCUCCAUGGUUUGAAUUAAGCCUCUUUCUCUGCACCAGAGAUGUUCCUCGUGCAAGAGGACUGUCCUGGCAUCUCCUCUCAUCCUUCUUGGGAAGGGAAAUCCUGAGCAAUGUGGUGUGAUCCAAGUGGCCCUUCCAUCUCCGCUAUCAUCAGAAAACACCAUGUGCUUCAUGGGCAUGGCGCUGUGAAAUGGUUCCAGCUGUUCAACCCCGUGGAGAUGGACAAAAGUCAGAUGCAGAGUCUCUCCAUCCACCUCUGGGCCUGGCAGAGGAUGCUUGAGGUGGGGCUGGAUGAACCACAGCACUUUAAAGCAAAGUUGAAGGCAAACCGGCAACAUUUUCUGUGCUUGUGAGGCUGUGCUCCUGUUAAAAGUCACUCAUAUGGCAGCCAUCAAAAAGGUUUGGCUUUUUGCAUGUGAAAAAAAAAUGUUUGUAUUAUUAAAAGAACAGUAUUCUGUGCCUUCUUCAGAAGGUAACGUGCACCAGAAACAAGCACUGUACUUCUCCUUUGCUAUGCUGCUGCUUUUACUUUCAAAUCAACUGUAGCAAAAAGUUCUUCCCCUUUUCAUGAAAGAAAGGGGAGCUAGAAGAUCAUUUGUAUGGAAUCAUGUUAAUAGUACAGAAUAUUUUCUUGGAAUCAUUGAAUGGCCCUCGUUGGAAGAGACCUUUGAAAGAUCAUCAGGUCCAAACUUGAUUUUAUGUCCCUCGAGGCUGCAAAGUAUACUAAAUCUGAUUUAAUGUAGGGCUGCAGUAUCAUCUGAGGCUUCAAUCUUCUCCUAAGACUCUGCUGCUUCAUCUUGUGCCAGCCUUUAAUAACACAGGGGAACUUUAACAUGUGGCAAUCUGUACAGCGGCAGCAUCACAGGUCACGGAUUGCUGUGGCUGCAGCUUGGAAUUGCCACUUUUGUGAUGAACUUGUUCAUAGGAGAUCAUUUUAUACUAUUUGAGGAUGUGUCCCAUUGUGCUGGAAGAGAGCAAAAUGUCAGACAAAUAUUUGGAGUAAAAAGAAAUCAGUUCUUAGUCAUUUUUGUAUUAUGUAUCUGAGAGCAAAGCCAUUAUUUUCUGGUUUUGUAGGUGUUGUGUAGCAGAACAUCAAAUGUAUGCACAAAAGGACAGAUGAUGAAAACACAGAGAUAAAGAAAACAGGUGGUGAGCUGCCAAGAAAAAAAUAUCUUAUCCUUUUAUAAGCACAUUUCUUUGACUGAGCUUUGCUGUGAUUUUUAAAUGAUCGUAAUGAGAAAUAAAAGCCAACCGUUUGAAUUGGCAGGUGGAGCACAGCACAACGGGGUCUGUGAGGCCCUGUUACAGUUUGUUUUGUCAGAUGUUUGUGUUUGGUUUUGCUUUUAUAUAAUGAGAAGCAGUGGAGAAACUCCCACUGAUGGAUGGGGGAGAUUAAUUCAGACAGUUGUGGUCUUCCUGAGAAAUGGCUUGAAGAGAGCUUAGACUUGGGAAAGCAAGAAGGAAGAAGGAAUUAAUUUGAAGGUUUUUUCCCUUUGAUACGUCUCAGUAUCUGAGAGAUUUUAUGUACUCAGCAAGGAAGGUCCUUAACAUCUGAAUCCAUGGGUUCCAUCCAUGGCCCAUAAAUCUCCAGGACCAUUCCUAAUGGUCUGAUGUAGCACGGCAGACCCUCAACUCUCUCCAGUUACACCUUGUCAGAAGCUGGUUUUCCAGCCUGCUACAGCUAACAAUCAAUAAAGGGAGACAAAUAAUCUGAUUUGGGAAAAUGCCUUACGGGAAAUCUCACUGAGGGAACUUGUCUACCUCUGCGUGACAUAAUGCUCUCUAAUGACAUAAUACAAUAAUGACAUUUUCUUCAGCUUUCCUGGGCAUCUCACUUAGGGAACGGUGUCUGUUGGUAUUUGACUGCCAUUGACAUAAUUAUAGAUUGGAUGAGGUUUCUUAGCAACUUUGAUGGCGACGCCGGUUAUGUUGGGUAUUGUCUGGGUGUCUGAUGAUGCAAUUUGACUGUUCAGGAUGUAGCCAUGGGAGCUGAUGGAGACAGGCCCUUCCAGCUUGUCUCUGGCCAUA
ensembl:lncRNA